GAUGAACGCUGGCGGCGUGCCUAAUACAUGCAAGUCGAGCGAACGGACGAGAAGCUUGCUUUUCUGAUGUUAGCGGCGGACGGGUGAGUAACACGUGGAUAACCUACCUAUAAGACUGGGAUAACUUCGGGAAACCGGAGCUAAUACCGGAUAAUAUUUUGAACCGCAUGGUUCAAAAGUGAAAGACGGUCUUGCUGUCACUUAUAGAUGGAUCCGCGCUGCAUUAGCUAGUUGGUAAGGUAACGGCUUACCAAGGCAACGAUGCAUAGCCGACCUGAGAGGGUGAUCGGCCACACUGGGACUGGGACACGGUCCAGACUCCUACGGGAGGCAGCAGUAGGGAAUCUUCCGCAAUGGGCGAAAGCCUGACGGAGCAACGCCGCGUGAGUGAUGAAGGUCUUCGGAUCGUAAAACUCUGUUAUUAGGGAAGAACAUAUGUGUAAGUAACUGUGCACAUCUUGACGGUACCUAAUCAGAAAGCCACGGCUAACUACGUG
rnacentral:rRNA from 1 species